AUUGAACGCUGGCGGCAGGCCUAACACAUGCAAGUCGAGCGAGCGGCGGACGGGUGAGUAAUGUCUGGGAAACUGACUGAUGGAGGGGGAUAACUACUGGAAACGGUAGCUAAUACCGCAUACCAUCAGAUGUGCCCAUAUGGGCUUAGCUGGUAGGUGGGGUAACGGAUCACCGAGGUGACGAUCCCUAGCUGGUCUGAGAGGAUGACCAGCGACACUGAAACUGAGACACGGGCCAGACUCCAACGGGAGGCAGCAGUGGGGAAUAUGGCACAAUGGGCGGAAGCAGGAUGCAGCCAUGCCGCGUGUGUGAUGAGGGCCGUCGGGUUGUAAAGCACUUUCAGCGGGGAGGCGUUACCCGCAGAAGAAGCACCGGCUAACUCCGUGCCAGCCGCCGCGGUAAUAC
rnacentral:rRNA from 1 species